CCAAGGCUAAAUACUCCUGACUGACCGAUAGUGAACCAGUACCGUGAGGGAAAGGCGAAAAGAACCCCGGCGAGGGGAGUGAAAAAGAACCUGAAACCGUGUACGUACAAGCAGUGGGAGCACGCUUCGGCGUGUGACUGCGUACCUUUUGUAUAAUGGGUCAGCGACUUAUAUUCUGUAGCAAGGUUAACCGAAUAGGGGAGCCGAAGGGAAACCGAGUCUUAACUGGGCGUUAAGUUGCAGGGUAUAGACCCG
rnacentral:rRNA from 2 species